ACCGGCGCACGGGUGCGUAAUGCGUAUAGAACCUACCUUUUACAGGGGGAUAGUCUGAAGAAAUUUGGCAUAAUACCCCAUAGUAUUGCUUUAAGGCAUCUUAGAGUAAUUAAAGAUUUAUCGGUAAGAGAUGGCUAUGCGUCCUAUUAGCUAGUUGGUACGGUAGAGGCGUACCAAGGCGACGAUAGGUAGGGGUUCUGAGAGGGAUAUCCCCCACACUGGUACUGAGACACGGACCAGACUCCUACGGGAGGCAGCAGUGAGGAAUAUUGGACAAUGGUGGGAACACUGAUCCAGCCAUGCCGCGUGCAGGAAGACGGCCUUAUGGGUUGUAAAGCACUUUAAGCAGGGAGGAAAGUUAAUAUGUUAAUACCAUGUUAGUGUGACGUUACCUGCAGAAUAAGCACCGGCUAACUCUGUGCCAGCAGCCGCGGUAAUACAGAGGGUGCGAGCGUUAAUCGGAAUUGCUGGGCGUAAAGCGCGCGUAGGCGGUUUGGUCAGUCAGAUGUGAAAGCCCAGGGCUUAACCUUGGAACUGCAUCUGAUACUGCCAGACUAGAGUAUGGGAGAGGAAAGUAGAAUUCCAGGUGUAGCGGUGAAAUGCGUAGAUAUCUGGAGGAAUACCGAUGGCGAAGGCAGCUUUCUGGCCCAAUACUGACGCUGAGGUGCGGAAGCGUGGGUAGCAAACGGGAUUAGAUACCCCGGUAGUCCACGCCGUAAACGAUGUCUACUAGCCGUUGGGGGGCUUGACCUUUUAGUGGCGCAGCUAACGCAAUAAGUAGACCGCCUGGGGAGUACGGCCGCAAGGUUAAAACUCAAAUGAAUUGACGGGGGCCCGCACAAGCGGUGGAGCAUGUGGUUUAAUUCGAAGCAACGCGAAGAACCUUACCUGGUCUUGACAUACAGAGAACUUACUAGAGAUAGUUUGGUGCCUUCGGGAACUCUGAUACAGGUGCUGCAUGGCUGUCGUCAGCUCGUGUCGUGAGAUGUUGGGUUAAGUCCCGCAACGAGCGCAACCCUUUUCCUUAGUUACCAGCACGUUAAGGUGGGCACUUUAAGGAUACUGCCAGCGACAAACUGGAGGAAGGCGGGGACGACGUCAAGUCAUCAUGGCCCUUACGACCAGGGCUACACACGUGCUACAAUGGUAAGUACAGAGGGUUGCUAACCUGCGAAGGUACGCUAAUCUCAAAAAGCUUAUCGUAGUCCGGAUUGGAGUCUGCAACUCGACUCCAUGAAGUCGGAAUCGCUAGUAAUCGCGGAUCAGAAUGUCGCGGUGAAUACGUUCCCGGGCCUUGUACACACCGCCCGUCACACCAUGGGAGUCUAUUGCACCAGAAGUGGUUAGCCUAACUUUUAGAGGGCGAUCACCACGGUGUGGUCGAUGACUGGGGUGAAGUCGUAACAAGGUAGCC
rnacentral:rRNA from 1 species